CAGCAAUCUCUUCAGGGCUGAACUGGAAAAGAAGCAACACUACAGCCAAUGCUGCAGCCAGAACCUUCCAACUCCUGUGACAACACAGCCUUGCAGAACUCUUGGUGAGAAAUUUGGAACCAUUGAGGUAAAAGGAUGAUGUUCAGGGAUGAGUUGCUGUGUGAAAUGCAUAGCAACUUUGGUCAGAACACCUGGACUGCCGGGACAGGAAGGAUGAUAAAUGCUGAAAGGGAGGAGAUGAUUAUCAAGUAGUAUCUUGAGCACAACUAAGUUGGGGAGGGAGCAAAACCGAGAGCACUUCGAAUAACUGCUUUUCCUGAUGGCCACCAGACUGCAGUGUUCAGUUCCAGCAUUUACAGCCUCUCCUCCGCACCAUCAUGUCCUGCAGCCAUUGCGUACAUUAGGGUUUGGGUGGACUGUGAAUCACUCUAUGAACUAGAAUAGGCAGAUCUUUCCCAUGUAUUCUACCCUGUGCAUCCCAUACAGCUGGAAAUAAAGACAGCCAGCGCAUUUC